GCGGAUAUAACUGAGGAAGGAAGCAAUGUAACUCUAGUGAUAUCGGGCCCAUCACAAGUCGUUUGUCAGCCACCUCCCCAGCUUUGGUUGGCAGCUUGCUGCUGUGAUUAUGGUAGCGUUAGAAGCUAGUGAAGACUCUCACAGAUGAUGUGUGUGAUGCUAGCUGUGAAUGCAAAGAACGGUCGAGAGGUGAUGUUUGGAAUACCGCUCUCCAGCGACACCUGAUUAUCCUCUCUCGCUUUUCAUCUGGCGAUGGUUGGUGCAUCGUUAUGAGGAGGGAGCGAGUUUGGAUAGAAUGAACUUCUCAUGUGUUUAUAGCAGUCUUUUAUAGUGUUGAGGUGGGAGCAAGGGAGAGGGAGGUGGACACUUUGACUAUAAACUGCGUAUCGCAUCAUCUUUUCUCAGCUUUUGAACUCUUAUCAUGGAAAGCAUUAAGAUUUGACCAAAUGGAGAGCGUAUGUUAGUCAACAAACUUGGAAUCAUGAAAUAUAAGAAUAAAUUGCGAAACUAAGAUUGAGAAACUUAAUGGACUUUUUGCAGCGUACAAACUCACUACAUAAUAGGAAACAAAUGAUUGUCUGUAAUAUCUUUGAUGUUUGAAAUUCCGAACACGAUAAUUUUGUGUGGAUUGUGAUCAAUCAAUCAAGAAGGAAGCAUAAUUUUUUUCCUAUGAACUUUAAUAUACAGUAUAUGUACAUACAUGUACACUGUACUUUAUACUAGUGAACAUACUGUGUAAAAAAACAAUCACUGCUUUACUCUCCUCCACAUCAUUCAAGAACUCAGUGAAACCUAACGGGUAGAGCUUUCACAAACAGUACUGUAAAUCGAUCUCUUCUCAGCUGCUUUUGCUGAUGGCGGAGAAGUGUGAGCAUCUCGACGUUGGAUCCAUCCACCAGAUGUUGAAGUACUUUGCGGUCUAUUCAUACCUGGAAUGGUGAUAGUCUUCUUCGGUGUCUCGUUGACGUCGACGCAAGCCGAGGCUCCUUCAGAUGUGAAUCUUUCUGCCGGUGGUGUUGGGAGCAUCCGAGGAGCUGUGCGGUCCGUCUGUGUCCUGGACGUCAUCGUCGAGAUGGACGAUAUAGAGAAAUGAGGUAAUGAUAAUUUGAUGCUUUACUUUCAUUUAUGCACUGGGCAAUAUUUAUAUGUGGGCUGACAUGUAAAAUGUAUAGGCCUACACUGAGCCAAGUGUUUCAUCUCCUUCUCGUCUGUUCGUGAAUGUGUACCCUUUGGAAAAUCAAAAGGCUUUGGAAGCUCCAGCCGUGGAUUUUACACACGCCCGUUUUUCUCUCCUGAUGUGAAGCAAGCGAGGCCGGUAUGUCGGCUGCAGCUUCCGGAAAAAUAUGGAACCGCCUCAAAGAUCGCGUCAACCGCAAUGGGAUCGUGCGACGCAUCAGCAUCAGACGGAGCAGCCGCGUGAAGAAGUAUUCCCUGGACGACGAGGAGCGAGGUCCCGAAGAUGGACCGAUUAGCGAGUGAGUUUUGAUCUUUGUUUUCCUGCCAGAAUGCUGCAUCCUACACCGCAUGAAUUCAUCUCACCAAUCAACUAAUCAUUGUUUUUACCCUCACCACUAACCAUAUAUUUCAUCACAUUAA
rnacentral:lncRNA from 1 species